GGUGAUGAAAGACACAAGGGCGCCAAGAUCAGCCAUGCAUGUCUAGUAUAGCAUAUACCGUGAAACUGCGAAUGGCUCAUAAAUCAGUAUCGUUUAUUUGAUAGUACCUUACUACUUGGAUAACCGUGGUAAUUCUAGAGCUAAUACAUGCUGAAAACCCCAACUUCGGGAGGGGUGUAUAUAUUAGAUAAAAAACCAACGCCYUUCGGGGCUUCUUGGUGAUUCAUGAUAUCUUUACGGAUCGCAUGGCCCUUGCGCCGGCGACGGUUCAUUCAAAUUUCUGCCCUAUCAACUUUCGAUGGUAAGGUAUUGGCUUACCAUGGUUUCAACGGGUAACGGGGAAUUAGGGUUCGAUUCCGGAGAGGGAGCCUGAGAAACGGCUACCACAUCCAAGGAAGGCAGCAGGCGCGCAAAUUACCCAAUCCCGACACGGGGAGGUAGUGACAAUAAAUACUGAUACAGGGCUCUUUUGGGUCUUGUAAUUGGAAUGAGUACAAUUUAAACCUCUUAACGAGGAACAAUUGGAGGGCAAGUCUGGUGCCAGCAGCCGCGGUAAUUCCAGCUCCAAUAGCGUAUAUUAAAGUUGUUGCAGUUAAAAAGCUCGUAGUUGAACCUUGGGUCUGGCUGGCAGGUCCGCCUCACCGCGUGUACUUGUCCGGCCGGGCCUUCCUUCUGGAGAACCUCAUGCCCUUCACUGGGCGUGUUGGGGACCAGGACUUUUACUUUGAAAAAAUUAGAGUGUUCAAAGCAGGCCUUUGCUCGAAUACGUUAGCAUGGAAUAAUAGAAUAGGACGUGCGGUCCUAUUUUGUUGGUUUCUAGGACCGCCGUAAUGAUUAAUAGGGACAGUCGGGGGCAUCAGUAUUCAAUUGUCAGAGGUGAAAUUCUUGGAUUUAUUGAAGACUAACUACUGCGAAAGCAUUUGCCAAGGAUGUUUUCAUUAAUCAGUGAACGAAAGUUAGGGGAUCGAAGACGAUCAGAUACCGUCGUAGUCUUAACCGUAAACUAUGCCGACUAGGGAUCGGGCGAUGUUCUUUUUCUGACUCGCUCGGCACCUUACGAGAAAUCAAGUUUUGGUCUGGGGGAGUAUGGUCGCAAGGCUGAAACUAUGAUGUUGAUCGGAGGGGGAGACCAAAGUU
rnacentral:rRNA from 1 species